GGGGGGAAUCAACAAAUAUUUGGUAAGAGGAAAUGGCAGAUACAGGAGCAAAAUGUUUAAGACGAAUGGCAAGUUAUUUUCAGUUUCCUCAUCUCCUCCACAGUGGUGCAGUAGUUGACAGCAGCAUACUCAAUCACAGACAGGAAGACAAACAGGAAGCUGGUCCACAGGGGGGGGGGACGGUACCCAGUGAUACUCUGGCGGGUACAGCUCUCCUGUCGAUCCAGAAGGAGACCCAGGAGAGGACAACCAUCAG